rnacentral:misc_RNA from 1 species
AAAGAAGAGUUGGAAAAAAUGCUUGAAGAGAACCGGAGGAGGGUGGAAGAAGCUCAGAGAAGGGAAGCUUUGGAGCAACAGCAGAGAGAGGAGGAACGAUAUCGAGAAUUAGAAGAGCUUCAAAGACAGAAGGAAGAAGCAAUGAAAAGGAAGAAGCAGCAAGAGGAUGAAGAACGUUUAAACCAGAUAAAAUUGUUGGGCAAGAACAAGUCUCGGCCGAAGUUGUCAUUCGCAUUUGGCUCAAAAUAAUUACUUGUAGGACCAAAAUCUCCAAAGAAAGAAGGAAGAAGCAACAAGAGGAGGAAGAACGUUUAAGCCAGAGCAAGAACAAGUCUCGGUCGAAGUUGUCAUUCGCAUUUGGCUCAAGAAAAUUACUUGGAGGACCAAAAUUCAUUUACAUUAAAUGUAUGUGUUGGACUUGAUUACUUGUUUUCAUUUGUACUUUGAGGAUUUUACAAUGGUUAAUCCAGGUUUUGGGGUUCUGUUGUUCUGGAUUGUUCUGUUGUUCAACCCCAAAGUACAAAUGAAAAC